rnacentral:lncRNA from 1 species
GGGAGCCCCAGGCUGCGCGCGCCCGCACCGCAUCGCCGCUUUGCCCCGCGACCGCGCGCGCCUCCUCGUCCUCCCCCGCGCCUUUGUUUCCGUCUCCUUCUCCUUUCCCUCCUCUUUUGUGUCGGGCCAGACUCAGCCCCAGAAACCAGCCACCCUGCCGCGUCCGACUGCCAGGGAUCCCUCACGCCGCGAGUACCAGAGAUGUCUCCAAGAGCACCAGCAACCCCAGCUAUCUGGAUCUGAAGUGGAUAUGCUCAGAGACAUCCUGGCCCACCCCAAAGAAGAUGCUGCUGCACUCAGAAGACGCCAGAGCUAGCCACCACCCACACUGCAAGUCUGGAAGCUCUGCAAGGACCCAGCAAGGCAGCCUGCUCAGCGAAGGCUUUGUCUCCUGUGGCAGGAAGAGCAACAUUAAGAACAAGAACCCCGGGCUGGACUACCCCUGAGAUUUAAUGACCAGAGCUGAGACCCCCAAGACCACAAUGACUAUGGAGGGCUGUCAUUACCCUGCCUGACCCUCUAAUGCCUCUCAGUUCAAGGAGGCCACUGAGUGAAACUGAAGGCUGGUUUUCCUUGGAAGCCAGCGGCCCAUCCACCUGCUCCACUUCCCUGCCUCUUGCAGCCUCCGCUCAAACACUGUCGUGGCUUGGCAGCACUACAAGGCAGAGUGAAAACAGAUACUUCUACCCACAUUCCUAUCUCCUCUCAUUUACGCAGAUUAAAUGCUUUCUUUCCUUGUUUUACACUGCUAGGAUUUUCAUCACCCUGUUUUUUCUUUCUCUACAUCAGCUACAAGAAAAAAAAAAGGAGUUACUGAGCAACUAAGAAGUCACAACUGUUUUCAGUUUUAUUAAUGAGUUGUUAUACUUAUUUUAUAGAUAGAGAAUUACCAUUAUAACAUUGCUCCAUUGCCCACUCAUCCAUUCACGCAUCUGUCCAUCCGUCCAUCCACCCAUUUGUCCACUCCCCAAAUGGUCAUCAAUUGUCUACUGUGAGCCAAGCAAAGUGCUCCUUACUUUGGACUCUGAAUCCAGUGCUCUUUCUACUUCACCAUAGACACAUGCCCCUUGAGUAUAAGGGAGCUUGAUUCAUUCAACAAAUAUCUGUUGUCCAUCUCCAAUGUACUGGCAUAUUCUAAAUGCAUCCAACAAAAACCAAAAUGAAAAAAAAGAAAAACCCAUUCCUUCAAGGGGAUUGCAUUCGGACUGGGGGAGACAGAUAAAAUAAAAAUAAUGAAGUCAAAUAUAUAUGUUAGUGACAUGUGCCAUGAAGAAUAAUGCCCAAUAGGUAAAUGGGGCAAUUAACAAACGUAAUGUAAAUAAAUUAGUUCCAAGAAAUCAUUGACUCACCAACAGAGGGAACACAAUUUGGUCCAUGGUAAAAUAUUCCUUGGUAUUAAUAAUUUCUUCUCCUAAAGUAUUUCAGGGGCUGCCAAGCUGCUCUCCUGUUUCCUCUUCCUUGGGGCUGAUUGCAUCCCAUGAUGUGCCCAGGUUUUGAGAUGCUCCUCGUGAAUGAAAAUAGGACUGUCUGGUUCCUCCAUCCAUAGCAAGGGAGCCUAGACAGAAAUAACUUCUGUGCAUUUCUCCAGCUACAUUUAGGGAAAACUAGAAAAUACAGAAAUAUAUCAAGAAGAAAAAAAAUUUAAAAA